rnacentral:rRNA from 1 species
UACGUAGGGACCGAGCGUUGUCCGGAUUCAUUGGGCGUAAAGAGCUCGUAGGCGGCCACUCAAGUCGAAUGUGAAAUCUCGAGGCUCAACCUCGGGCCUGCAGUCGAUACGGGCAAACUAGAGUACUGCAGGGGAGACUGGAAUUCCUGGUGUAGCGGUGAAAUGCGCAGAUAUCAGGAGGAACACCGGUGGCGAAGGCGGGUCUCUGGGCAGUAACUGACGCUGAGGAGCGAAAGCGUGGGGAGCGAACAGG